GACGAACGCUGGCGGCGUGCCUAAUACAUGCAAGUCGAACGAGAGCGACCGGUGCUUGCACUGGUCAAUCUAGUGGCGAACGGGUGAGUAACACGUGGGUAACCUGCCCAUCAGAGGGGGAUAACAUCCGGAAACGGAUGCUAAAACCGCAUAGGUCUUCGAGCCGCAUGGCUUGAAGAGGAAAAGAGGCGCAAGCUUCUGCUGAUGGAUGGACCCGCGGUGCAUUAGCUAGUUGGUGAGGUAACGGCUCACCAAGGCCGUGAUGCAUAGCCGACCUGAGAGGGUGAUCGGCCACACUGGGACUGAGACACGGCCCAAACUCCUACGGGAGGCAGCAGUAGGGAAUCUUCCGCAAUGGACGCAAGUCUGACGGAGCAACGCCGCGUGAGUGAAGAAGGUUUUCGGAUCGUAAAACUCUGUUGUUAGAGAAGAACAAGUGCUAGAGUAACUGUUAGCGCCUUGACGGUAUCUAACCAGAAAGCCACGGCUAACUACGUG
rnacentral:rRNA from 1 species